rnacentral:rRNA from 1 species
CCUACGGGUGGCAGCAGUGAGGAAUAUUGGUCAAUGGACGAGAGUCUGAACCAGCCAAGUAGCGUGAAGGAUGACUGCCCUAUGGGUUGUAAACUUCUUUUAUAUGGGAAUAAAACGUUCCACGUGUGGGAUUUUGUAUGUACCAUAUGAAUAAGGAUCGGCUAACUCCGUGCCAGCAGCCGCGGUAAUACGGAGGAUCCGAGCGUUAUCCGGAUUUAUUGGGUUUAAAGGGAGCGUAGGUGGAUUGUUAAGUCAGUUGUGAAAGUUUGCGGCUCAACCGGAAAAUUGCAGUUGAAACUGGCAGUCUUGAGUACAGUAGAGGUGGGCGGAAGUCGUGGUGUAGCGGUGAAAUGCUUAGAUAUCACGAAGAACUCCGAUUGCGAAGGCAGUUCACUGGACUGCAACUGACACUGAGGCUCGAAAGUGUGGGUAUCAAACAGGAUUAGAUACCCUGGUAGUC